AUUCAAAAUAACACGAAUACCCUCGGGUGGUUGUGCAGCUAAUUCACUCAUUUCCUUGGCUACCCGUCGGAUUAUUUGUGGGGAUAAGUUUUCGACAUUUGAUUUCUAAAAUGUAAAUCAUAAUAGCAGGUUGAAUAAGCAGGUGAGAAUGUAUACAACGGAGAAGCCUAUCCCCUUAACCAGAGGAUAAACAAGAAGCACCAUCGUUAAAAGUUCGCAGUUACGGAAUAAUAUGUGUCAUCGGGUACUUACAGAACUUACAGCAGCCAUAUUCAACAAAUUUUACAGGAAAUAUCAACUACACGCGCUCAGGACGCGAUUAUUUAAUGUAUACUCUUAGAAAAUCUUUAACGUCACAACAUCAGCACAGCAUCGCCUGCAAUAACCAACAUUUUGAACUGACAGCCAAUCGCGUGCGAGUUACAAUAAUCUCGAAGGCAGAAGUCGAUUCGUCGUCAUUUCGUGUGUUUUCAAGCAAGAAGGGUAUCCGGCGUCUUGACUUUUGUUGAACGAUCGUCAUCGUAAUUGAAUUAAAGGACGAAGAAAUGCUCGAAUUUAGAAGCAUAUAAGACUGGAUCAUGCAAGGAGACUGUAGUCGUGUUCUACAAUAAGUUUUACAUAAUUUCACAUUCACGUUGCAUUUAUACCGUGUCCUCUGUCAGAACGAAUUUAAAUAUUUCGUUAUACGUUAAACAGGAUGACCGACAGUGCGACAAUAGAAAGGGUCAGACUAUUCAUUUUAUUUAGUUUUGAUUUCAUCUAAUAUAUGGAACACCACAUGAAGCAAUUAAAACGCAGAAUGGAAUGUUGGCGUGAAGUAAUACUUCCAAUGAACUCCAUUCUAUUAUGGGAACGAUCUUGGUAUCCUGGACUUAUAUUUGGAGUAACAAGUACAAUAUUCUUUUUAAUAUGGAUAUUGGAACCUGCUUUUCUUACGAUAGUAUCUGUAACCCUUCUUGUGUUAGCCUUGGUUGAUUAUCUUGUUCCACCUAUGACAUCACUUUUGUGCGCUGCUAAUGGUUGGACAGGUCAAAAAGAGAAGAAGUUGAAUGAGAUUUGUCAAAAUCUGUCUGGAACAAUUUUACAGUUCCAAGAUUUAUGGGCAUCAGUGUUAGAAACACGAAAUACUCGUCCAAGUUUUUAUUGUUCAGGAAUAAUAACUUGUCUCCUACUUUGUACAUGGAUUGGAAGUACAAUCAACAAUUUAUUUUUGUUUUAUAUUGCAGUGAAUGCAGUCUUGCUUCUGCCAGGAUUCAGACAUAAAGGGCGUGUAAUAUCAGCAAUAAUAUUUGUACGUGAUCACCUCUCUCAUUCCAAAAAAAUCACAGUCACUCUUUUGUAUGUAUGUUCAUUCUUCCUCUUUAUUCUCUUCAUAAUUUGUUAUCUGAGAUAAAUUAAUAUUUUGCGUACUUAUUCAGAUCUAGAAAAAAAUAGACUUUCUGCUUUUAAAAAGCAUAAACAUCAAACAGUGUAUUAUGCUUUUUCUUCCUUCUGGAAUUUUGUAUAAUAUUUAACGUAACUCAUUGCCAAUGCACUUUUAUACCGUGAAUAUGUAUUUAGUUUUCCUCUAGUUCUAGAAUUUGUUUAAUUUAAAAGAAAAUAUUGUAAAAUGUUGUAAUACUUACGAACGUAUUUUUAUUAUAUAUAAUAUUUAUUUCAUAAUACAUUGUAUAAUGUUAAAUAUAUUUACGAUAAUAUUUAUGUGACAUUUUGAAAAUGUUUACUGCGUUACUGCAGACAAUUUUCAGAUCAUAAAUACUCGUGUAAGCACAACUAAUAUUUAAUAAAAUCGACUUAUGCAUCAUGCUCAGUAACUAAUGCUAAUAUUACAGAAA